rnacentral:rRNA from 5 species
UGAAGAACGCAGCGAAAUGCGAUACCUAGUGUGAAUUGCAGAAUUCCGCGAAUCAUCGAGUCUUUGAACGCAAGUUGCGCCCGAGGCUCGUACCGAGGGCAUGUCUGUCUGAGCGUCCA